AGAUUGAACGCUGGCGGCAGGCCUAACACAUGCAAGUCGAGCGGCAGCACGGGUACUUGUACCUGGUGGCGAGCGGCGGACGGGUGAGUAAUGCCUAGGAAUCUGCCUGGUAGUGGGGGAUAACGCUCGGAAACGGACGCUAAUACCGCAUACGUCCUACGGGAGAAAGCAGGGGACCUUCGGGCCUUGCGCUAUCAGAUGAGCCUAGGUCGAUUAGCUAGUUGGUGAGGUAAUGGCUCACCAAGGCGACGAUCCGUAACUGGUCUGAGAGAUGAUCAGUCACACGUGAACUGAGACACGGUCCAGACUCCUACGGGAGCAGCAGUGGGAAUGUGACAGUGGACAAGCCUGACUCCGAGCCAUCGCCGUCGUGUGUAGAAGUAACGUCUUCGGAUUAGAAAGUCAACGUUUUAAGUGGAAGGAAGGUCUAAGUUACC
rnacentral:rRNA from 1 species